UACGUAGGGUGCGAGCGUUGUCCGGAUUUAUUGGGCGUAAAGAGCUCGUAGGCGGCUUGUCGCGUCGUUCGUGAAAAACUCACAGCCUCAACUGUGAGCUUGCGGGUCGAUACGGGCAGGCUAGGAGUUCGGUAGGGGAGACUGGAAUUCCUGGAUGUAGCGGUGAAAUGCGCAGAUAGUCUGGAGGAACACCGGGUGGCGAAGGCGGCGUCCUGGACCAAUAC
rnacentral:rRNA from 1 species